UUUUUGCAGAUUUUCAAAUAAAACUCAGAGAUUCCUUGUAUGACUCUCUCAAAUCUCUCUUUUGUGGUAUUUCUGCAUCCUAACCAAGGCAGUAAUGGUAUAUGCCUUCUCUCAAAGUAUGUGGUAUUUUUGGUAUGAGGCAUAGUGAUAUUGCCUUCUCUCUCACCCUACUCUAAUAAGGUUUUGAUAUCUGGAGCUCAGAGAUGGGAGAUAAAGCAUACAUACUUACAAGACAUUUAUUGCAUAGUCAAACCAUGGAUCCAGAGAAACAAGUCAAUAAGUCAAAUCAAGAUGUGCAUGUGUGGCGAAUGAAUGGUGUAUGGUGAUAACAAUGGUGAAAGUCUAAUUCUACUUUUGCUCUUGUAAGAGGAUACAUACCUUUCUUGCACUUUGAAGGUUUUUGAGGAGGAUGAGAUGCUCUAUAUUUUCUUUUUCUUUUCUCUCAGGUGGGUAUCUUGUACCCCUAAUUCUACUGUCGGACACUAGUCCAUUUUUACCUCUCGUCUCACUUUUUUUUCCUUCGAGGUUCCGGGCACUUGCCCCUUUUUAUUUCCUCGUAUUCACUUUUUUUUUUCAGAGCACUGACCCUCCUAGAAUAAUGUAGCAAGUUGUAGUAACCAAAAUAUCUCGAGCAUUUAUUUCACCGGGAAUAGCAGGGAUAGGAUAAUGUUUUUGGCUAUUCUCUCCUGGAUAGGAGUAGAAUAAUUUUGGGUGAAUCUGGAGAUGGAAAUGGGUGGAUGUAUGUGGAUGCGUACUUCCGGAGUAGAAGCAGCAUGUAUGAGUGAACGUGCAAGUGAAUCUUGAUUUUAACCGUAUGACAAGCUCCUAAGGGUCUACACAGCUUGACCACACUCAAUGCUCAUAAGAAGUAAAAAGUAAAUGUAUGGUUCAUAGUCUAAUAAGCAUGUAUAUAUGGCUGUGGUAGGAUUUUAAACUCUCAUCAUACAGGAACUCAUCACGCAACAUUUUAAGAUUUUUAAAGAUAAAAUUCUCCAGAAUUCUAGUAUCUCUAGGAACAGAUAAACAACAGCUCAACCUUCCCAUAUCAUAUCCGUUAACGACUUAGAAUUUUGAUCAGGUACUCUUCCCAUAAGUUUAGGUUUAGAGCAAAUCUUAAUUCAUAACAGUCAUGCCUAAACUUGAGAGAGAUAUCAAUUUUGAGAACUAGUCAUGGCAGAGCAAUUAUUCAUCAUUUCCAUGUGAGAGCUUAUCAUGAGGGUUCAUAGCAAACUUUAUUUAUUUAUUUAUUUAGCAAACUAAGCAAAGAUAUAUAUAAGCACAAAAAUCUUUAUUUGGUUUUUCAUAGUUAUGUAUAUUUUUUUUAUUUUAAUAUAGUAUAAGUAUAAAUGUGGAUAGAAUACUUAGCAGGAUAAAUGGAGGUGCUUUUCCCCAAGCUGGAUUUUGAUGUAAUUUCUUCUAAUGUAGCUGGCAGGUGGUGGAGGUGUAUUUGAAUGUCGGUAGCACCCUGACAGCGAUAAGAAUGUCCUCCGUCUGCUAGUCUUCUUGAUCCUUGAAUUCUGUGGAGCUCAAAUAGACAACAAAGCUUUGUGGAACUAGUUAAGUGUUAGCAUAAAGUCUCUUAGCCUUUAUCAUAUUGAGAUUCCUUCUAAUAAAUUUUAUUUAUUUAGCAGGAUCAUGCACUUAUUCUUUUUAUAUUUUUAUUAUAAGAUGAAAAUAUAUUUAUUUUAUGCCACCACAGUCAAUAUACCUAUGGGUUUUAAACCACAAGUUUACUCACAUGGGGCUUUAGAUUUUAUGAUGCAGUGCAAUGAACAAAUACUUUUCUUUUCUUUUCUAAUGCUAAUAUGGAAAAGUAAAUAUGCUAAUGCA
rnacentral:lncRNA from 1 species